GCAGUCUUAGUUCGGAUUGUAGGGCUGCAACCCGCCUACAUGAAGUCGGAAUUGCUAGUAAUCGCGGAUCAGCAUGCCGCGGUGAAUACGUUCCCGGGCCUUGUACACACCGCCCGUCACACCAUGGGAGUUGGUAACACCCGAAGUCAGUAGCCUAACCGCAAGGAGGGCGCUGCCGAAGGUGGGAUCGAUGACUGGGGUGAAGUCGUAACAAGGUAAC
rnacentral:rRNA from 1 species